rnacentral:rRNA from 1 species
UGGGGAAUCUUAGACAAUGGGGGAAACCCUGAUCUAGCCAUGCCGCGUGGACGAUGAAGGCCUUAGGGUUGUAAAGUCCUUUCGCUGGGGAAGAUAAUGACGUUACCCAGUAAAGAAGCCCCGGCUAACUCCGUGCCAGCAGCCGCGGUAAUACGGAGGGGGCUAGCGUUGUUCGGAAUUACUGGGCGUAAAGCGCGCGUAGGCGGAUAGUUAAGUCGGGGGUGAAAUCCCGGGGCUCAACCCCGGAACUGCCUUCGAUACUGGCUGUCUAGAGUUCUGGAGAGGUGAGUGGAAUUCCGAGUGUAGAGGUGAAAUUCGUAGAUAUUCGGAGGAACACCAGUGGCGAAGGCGGCUCACUGGCCAGAUACUGACGCUGAGGUGCGAAAGCGUGGGGAGCAAACA